ensembl:lincRNA
AGAGCACAGAAACUCUGGUGGGACUAGGGCACUCUUUCCCUCUCCCCUCUUCCCUUACACCCACAGCCCCACAUAUGUCUGCUUGCAUGUUGCCAUGCCCCCUGCCAUGAUGACAAUUUGAACUAAACUUCUGAAACUUAGUACCUUCUGGUGUUUGGAUUCCUUCAGUAGUACCUUAAUUUAAUUGUCUUCAGCUCCAUUUCCUUGAACAACAUUCAAGACUCUAUCCUGAGACUAAUACUGUAUGAUUUGGAAAGAUUUCUAAAUUUAAAGAGCAGACUGGAAUGAGAGGUUAAUAACUGUUUAUGCUGUGAAUUAUUGUGCAAUAGAAGUUGGCUCCAGUUUGGUUAUAUCUAAACCUGUGUAUUUAUUUAUUAAAAACAUUGGUUUUGUUUUGAGUGG